UACGUAGGGUGCGAGCGUUGUCCGGAAUACUGGGCGUAAAGCGUGCGCAGGCGGUGAUGUAAGACAGGUGUGAAAUCCCCGGGCUUAACCUGGGAACUGCAUUUGUGACUGCAUCGCUGGAGUGCGGCAGAGGGGGAUGGAAUUCCGCGUGUAGCAGUGAAAUGCGUAGAUAUGCGGAGGAACACCGAUGGCGAAGGCAAUCCCCUGGGCCUGCACUGACGCUCAUGCACGAAAGCGUGGGGAGCAACAGG
rnacentral:rRNA from 1 species